GAUGAAGAACGUAGCGAAAUGCGAUAAGUAGUGUGAAUUGCAGAAUUCAGUGAAUCAUCGAAUCUUUGAACGCACAUUGCGCCCCUUGGUAUUCCAUGGGGCAUGCCUGUUCGAGCGUCAUUUGUACCUUCAAGCUUUGCUUGGUGUUGGGUGUUUGUCCUGAGGGACUCGCCUUAAAGUAAUUGGCAGCCAGUGUUUGGUUUUGAAGCGCAGCACAAGUCGCGAUUCAAGGCUAUACACCAGCUUCCACAAGCCUUUUUCACUUUUGACCUCGUAUCAGGUAGGGAUACCCGCUGAACUUAAGCAUAUCAAUAAGCGGAGGA
rnacentral:misc_RNA from 1 species